rfam:Oryza meridionalis cultivar OR44 (W2112) chromosome 7, whole genome shotgun sequence.
AGCUAGUGGAGUGUAGUAAGAGCCCAACGUUUGACCGCCCGUAUUAUUUGAAAUUUUUUUAUGAUUAGUGUUUUUAUUGUUAUUAGAUGAUAAAAUAUGAAUAGUACUUUAUACAUGACUUAAUUUUUAAAAAAAAUCACAAAUUUUUCAAAUAAACCAAACGGUCAAAUAUUUGACAUAAAAAUUUAUGGUUAUACUUAAA